rnacentral:rRNA from 1 species
AGCCACAGCAAUAUCACCCUGCACCCCAAGACUGGUUACUCACUGAAGCUAAGCAGGGCUGAGCCUGGUCAAGCCCUGGAUGGGAGACCACAUGGAAUAAACUAGGUUGCUGUUGGAA